UGGGGAAUAUUGCACAAUGGGCGCAAGCCUGAUGCAGCCAUGCCGCGUGUGUGAAGAAGGCCUUCGGGUUGUAAAGCACUUUCAGCGAGGAGGAAGGUGGUGAGCUUAAUACGCUCAUCAAUUGACGUUACUCGCAGAAGAAGCACCGGCUAACUCCGUGCCAGCAGCCGCGGUAAUACGGAGGGUGCAAGCGUUAAUCGGAAUUACUGGGCGUAAAGCGCACGCAGGCGGUUUGUUAAGUCAGAUGUGAAAUCCCCGGGCUCAACCUGGGAACUGCAUUUGAAACUGGCAAGCUAGAGUCUCGUAGAGGGGGGUAGAAUUCCAGGUGUAGCGGUGAAAUGCGUAGAGAUCUGGAGGAAUACCGGUGGCGAAGGCGGCCCCCUGGACGAAGACUGACGCUCAGGUGCGAAAGCGUGGGGCAGCAAACAGGAUUAGAUACCCUGGUAGUCCACGCUGUAAACGAUGUCGAUUUUGGAGGUUGUGCCCUUGAGGCGUGGCUUCCGGAGCUAACGCGUUAAAGUCGACCGCCUGGGGGAGUUACGG
rnacentral:rRNA from 1 species